rnacentral:rRNA from 1 species
UACGUAGGUGGCGAGCGUUGUCCGGAAUUACUGGGCGUAAAGGAUGCGUAGGCGGAUAUUUAAGUCAGAUGUGAAACCCCCAGGCUUAACUUGGGGACUGCAUUUGAAACUGGAUAUCUAGAGUGCAGGAGAGGUAAGUGGAAUUCCUAGUGUAGCGGUGAAAUGCGUAGAGAUUAGGAAGAACACCAGUGGCGAAGGCGGCUUACUGGACUGUAACUGACGCUGAGGCAUGAAAGCGUGGGUGGCAAACAGGAUUAGAUACCCUGGUAGUCCACGCUGUAAACGAUGAAUACUAGGUGUGGGAGGUAUCGACUCCUUCCGUGCCGCCGCUAACGCAAUAAGUAUUCCGCCUGGGGAGUACGAUCGCAAGAUUAAA